AUUGAACGCUGGCGGCAUGCCUUACACAUGCAAGUCGAACGGCAGCACGGGAGCAAUCCUGGUGGCGAGUGGCGAACGGGUGAGUAAUAUAUCGGAACGUGCCCAGUCGUGGGGGAUAACGUAGCGAAAGCUACGCUAAUACCGCAUACGAUCUAUGGAUGAAAGCGGGGGGUCGCAAGACCUCGCGCGAUUGGAGCGGCCGAUAUCAGAUUAGGUAGUUGGUGAGGUAAAGGCUCACCAAGCCGACGAUCUGUAGCUGGUCUGAGAGGACGACCAGCCACACUGGGACUGAGACACGGCCCAGACUCCUACGGGAGGCAGCAGUGGGGAAUUUUGGACAAUGGGCGCAAGCCUGAUCCAGCAAUGCCGCGUGCAGGAUGAAGGCCUUCGGGUUGUAAACUGCUUUUGUACGGAACGAAACGGUGAGCUCUAAUACAGUUUGCUAAUGACGGUACCGUAAGAAUAAGCACCGGCUAACUACGUG
rnacentral:rRNA from 1 species